rnacentral:rRNA from 1 species
UACGGAGGAUCCAAGCGUUAUCCGGAUUUAUUGGGUUUAAAGGGUGCGUAGGCGGCUUAUUAAGUCAGGGGUGAAAGACGGUGGCUCAACCAUCGCAGUGCCCUUGAUACUGAUGAGCUUGAAUACACUUGAGGUAGGCGGAAUGUGACAAGUAGCGGUGAAAUGCAUAGAUAUGUCACAGAACACCAAUUGCGAAGGCAGCUUACUGAGGUGCAAUUGACGCUGAGGCACGAAAGCGUGGGGAUCAAACAGG